GGUCUCGUGGUGUAGUGGUUAUCACGUCUGUUUUUUUUUCACACGCAGAAGGUCGCCGGUUCGAUCCCGGCCGAGACCU
rnacentral:tRNA from 1 species